ACCGGGGUUAGCCAACUGAGUAGCCUGCCUUUUCCCUAUCACAGAUCUUCCUUUCUGGUCUGCAAGGUGGCACCAUGGGUCCUCCUGGAGGGCUGCCCUGGCUUACGUAGAAUGGGGUUUCCACCUCAGUGGUCCUGUGGGACACUGGACAUCCUGAGGCUCAGGGAGGAGAGGAGGGCUGUUGUCUGGUUUUUGGAGAGGGGGGCCUGAGGGGCUUGGAGGUGAACCGGGCAGACAUGGCAGGUCUGUCGGGUGCGGCUGACUCAGCAGGCUCUGUGUGGGACUCUAGCAUGGGCCCUUCCUUGGACUGGCCGCUUCUGUUAGAAUCCCGACAGGGACUUCCCGGGACUGCCGCGGUAUGGUGGUGCCUGUGGACAUUGUCCAGAACCUUACCCAGGGGCUCUAUGUGUCAGACCUGCUUAGACUUCAGCCCUGUCUCGUGUGGCUCUGAGUGUGCCUCUCCCGUUGACCGGCCGGGUUUGCACUGUGGGGCCUCCUUGGGUACCAGUCUUCAUGAUCUAGUCUCAGACUGCAGGGCCCGGGUUUGUCAGGCACAGGUGCCUUAGUGAUUAUGGCCAUACUGCGUCCCCACAGCUGGUCUCCCAUUGGUGUGUGGGGUGGGAGGAAGGCCCUCAUGAAACAGGCCAUGUAGGGGAUUGGACCUCGAGGUGGUGGGUGGGAGGAUCCAGCUUCCUGGUGGGGAAGAACACAUUGAUUUCUCGCCUUUUUAAAAUCCCAAAACCAUAGCCAGCAGAGGCACCUAUAAAAGUUUCCAGAAACACCUUCCCUGCACCCUUCUCUCCACGUAGUGGCAUGGGAGAUGUCUGUGAGAGACAUCACAGUUCCCGGAGUCAGCCAGCUGCUCCUCUCCUAGGCUUUCCUAGAAAAUCUGUAGCCUUUGGGGCUGGUAGCACUAGGCAGAGGAGCCGAUUCCCCAGUCCACACCCAGGACCGUGCCUUCUGCAGACCUCCUCUCCCACUGUUCGUGUCAGCCCUGUUCUACACUGUGCCCUGUUUCUGAGCCACUGAGCAUCCUCUGGCUCCAGCAGAGAAAGUUCUGGGGCUGAGCCACGUCUGGGCUUGGCUGGCUGUCAGGCACUGGGGCCUUGGCCGCAAGCCCCACUAGCCCACAUAGCCUUACCCACCACUGCUCGUCACUAUAGAUUCCCUGGUGAGCUUCCUGCUCCUUUAGCCUCAUUGCCACUGUCAUCAGGUGCAGUGCUGUUUGUUUGCAGUGGUGGUGUGGGCAUGGUGUCACUAAGGAGAAAAUUGGGGCUUCGUUUAACCAGACCUUCAGUCCUGUUACCAAUCUGGCUCAAUUAAGGUGAUUGUCAUUAUUAUUGUUGUUAUUAUGGUGGAGCAAUCUUUAAUUUUCUAAAGAUAGCACUAGCAUCAGCUCAUUAGCCACCCUGCGCCCAUCCCCACCUCAGCCUGGUUGGAUGACAGCUGCCACCGAUGGUCACGUGACUUCACCCUGCAGCUCCUGGGCCAUAUCCCUCAUCUGGGUGACCACCCUGCUCGGAGGUUCAGUUGGGGCUCCCGUGGCUGAGAAGCGAAGAUGGCCGGCAGGGCCUGUGGCAGCUGCUGGCCCAUUGUCACCCCCGAUACCACAGUCACUGGGGGAAUUUGGCCCCACACCCUCAGUUUUCCAAACUGCAGCAUCCCCAGGGAUACUGGGCGACUUGGUGACAGCGCCAAGAGACACCCAAGUCCCCUCCCCUGGCAUCCCAGGAUACCUGGCCAAAGCAGGCAGCCAAUGGCUAGUCAUUGCCAUCCCCAUCGUAGAACUGGGGCAUGUGACCUGGUCCCCGUGCACACAGGUGUGUGGCGUGAGCACGGGCUGUGGAGACUGCAGAGGCGACGGGAGAUUCGGCCCAGUUACUGAUGUUUGUGUUCCUUUUAAUCAAGACUUUCCCUUUUUCCUGUACAUUUGCUUCUUGUGAGCAAGGACCCGAGGUCCCCCUCUGUCGGGAGUCGGGCUCUGGUGACUCUGGAGGCAGGGGCUGCAUCUAUUUUCAGAUGCUUCGGGCUGGAGUGCCCUGAUGUCUAGCCAUGCCUUAGCUGGGCUGUGCGGCCACCGUGGGGAGGAUGCGGCGUCCGCAGGGAGGAAAGAUAGAGGAUGUUUAACGCACCGGGAAGGGUAAAUGAAUCUAUUUUUGUACAAAUGUAAUUUUAUCCCUCAUGUAAACUGGAUAGCGUGGCGGGGGACCUGUUUUGUUUCUGCUUUGAGUGUCAAGAAGCGUUGGGACACCCUGACGCCCAGGCGGCAGAGGAGGCCCUCACCAGGAGGCUGAAGGCUCCUGAGAACAGCACAGACAGACACUUCCUUUGGUGGGAGGGAGGGCCACCGGGCAGGGUUUCCUUCCCCUUCUUGGUGAUUUGAACAACCUCGCUCUGCCCUCGGUGCCUGCCUGCCGGCCUUGCUGCAGCUCGUCUGACUGUGAACUGACUUCCCCGCGUAACUGCUCUCUGGGACAUUGUGGUGCAGACGCCGGGGGUUGAUGAACAGCAGUCUCAGGAUUGUAGAAAAGAAACAAAGACGUGAGAGGAGAGAGAAAUAUGAG
ensembl:lncRNA